UAGAUUGCGUUGAUCAAGAGAGUAGUCUGAUUGAGAAUGUGAAGAGAGUAAAGCAGUUGAUGAAAGCUUUACCAUUCUGAUGGGACGAAAGUAGCUUGAGAGCAAAUUUGCUGAAUUUUCAGUAGGCAGAUUCGGAUUAACAUCCGUUAAACUUGUUAUUUAAGAGGGGUUAAAACCCAAUUUAGGUGGUACCGCGAGCAUCUCGUCCUAUGU
rnacentral:ncRNA from 1 species